rnacentral:lncRNA from 1 species
ACCCAUCGGACUCUUGCGAGGACCGACGCAUCUACACGGACGGGAGUUAACACUCCUUCGACCUUCGACGACACAUCGGACCCUUACCAGGACCGGUGUAUCCAUAUCAACGGGGGUUGCACUCCUUCGACUUUCGACGAUGCAUCAGACCCUUAAAAGGGCCGAUGCAUCUGUUUUAACGGGAGUUGACACUCCUUCUACGGUCGAACUUUCGGGCCAGAGACCAUCGGCUAACAAACCGAUCGAGCCCCGACCAAAGAAAGGUGAAAUGCCUACGCGACCGACGUCGCGACUCCCGAUCGAGCUACGGCCGGUCGAAGGAUAUUCGGCUUACCACCGUCUAUCGCACGACGCGACCUUUAUCGUAUUGACGACUUACCGACCGGGCUACGGCCGGUCGGACGAUAUUCGGCUUACCACCGUAUAUCAAAAGGCGCAGCAUGAAUACCCAACACAAGGGCAUCGGGAUCCGACUUGUCGUCGUUUCCCCGACUGAAUGCGCCGGACGACAUUCGA